GACGGAGGAUACAAGUGUUAUCCGGAAUCACUGGGCGUAAAGCGCUCGCAGGUGGUUCGAUGCGUCGUGCGUGAAAGACCCCGGCUCAACUGGGGAGGGUCGUGCGAUACGGUCGAACUGGAGGCCAGUAGGGGGAUGCGGAAUUCCGGGUGUAGUGGUGGAAUGCGUAGAGAUCCGGAGGAACACCAGCGGCGAAGGCGGCAUCCUGGACUGGUCCUGACACUCAGGAGCGAAAGCGUGGGGAGCGAUCCGG
rnacentral:rRNA from 1 species